rnacentral:rRNA from 1 species
GACGAACGCUGGCGGCGUGCUUAACACAUGCAAGUCGAACGGUGACGAGGAGCUUGCUCCUCCGAUCAGUGGCGAACGGGUGAGUAACACGUGAGCAACCUGCCCCAGACUCUGGGAUAACAGUUGGAAACAGCUGCUAAUACCGGAUACGAGACGGAGAGGCAUCUCUACCGUCUGGAAAGUUUUUCGGUCUGGGGAUGGACUCGCGGCCUAUCAGCUAGUUGGUGAGGUAAUGGCUCACCAAGGCGACGACGGGUAGCCGGCCUGAGAGGGCGACCGGCCACACUGGGACUGAGACACGGCCCAGACUCCUACGGGAGGCAGCAGUUGGGAAUCUUGGGCAAUGGGCGAAAGCCUGACCCAGCGACGCCGCGUGAGGGAAGAAGGGCCUUCGGGUCGUAAACCUCUGUCAUGGGGAAGAAGCAAGUGACGGUACCCAAGAGGAAGCCCCUGCUAACUACGUGCCAGCAGCGCGUAAGAGUACUCUAU